UUGCGCAUAGUCCCCUAAUUUCAAAAUGGACCCCGCCACCGGAUUGAACGUGAAUCAAAUUGGCAGAGCAGAUAUCAAUUUAAACGGGUUAAUUAAUAAUAUAUUGGGACGGAUAAAGAUUAUUUAUACAGCAGUGCAUUGAGAAUAGUUUGGAAAUCAACGGUAUGGCACUGCGAGUAUAUCACGUUAUUUUGCGAAUGCUCAACCUCUACUCUAAUGAUUGAAUGACAGCUCCCAGACGAUUGCACCAGAUGAGAUUCCUAUGCGUGCUGACACUUAAUUAUACAAUUAGUAAAGUGAAUACUACUGGAAGUAAAUGUCACCAUUUUAGAGUAAUAGAAUCAAAGUGCAUCCUCAAGAGCAGAGGGGCUAGACUGACAGCCAGAACAUUGGAUUCAAUCUAGAGGAGAGUCCUAUCAUACUUGGUUGUUUUUUGAAAUAAAUACCUGAAGAGUUGAUCACUGCUAUUCGUUUCAAUCUUCCAGGUCGAACAGUAUUCGUCCCAGGGGAGACUGCAAAGUUGAAACGACAGAGUCCUUGCGGUAUACGUCAGAUGUUAUUAUUACACCUCUGCGUACUUUAACAGACAGUCAGUGCAGAUGUUUGCCGGGCCAGGUCCAGCUGCCCAACCCAAGCAUAUUGUUGCUCUACUUUUGGAAACGACAUAGAGAGUUUGAGGGGAAGAAAUCAUACUUCCUAGUACAUGUACCUACUCAAGAACUGCAGUCAUUCCAUGGACUGAGAUGCGAAUCAGUUGGAGGCUUGUGGGCCUAUACAAAGAGAAUUAUAAGCACGGGAUCCGUAAUGCGUGCAUCAACUUGCAUAGAUCUUAGACCUUUCAAGCAUACUAUUAUGCCAAUUCGGAUUCUUGAGAUCAAAAUACAUGAGGAUAGCGGGACGAACCCUUCCACAAAAAAUCUGAAUCUUCAUCUCAGAUUUUGACAAAAUUCCAAGGCUAUAGGCUUACUGUUUUUCCCGGCAAAAAAGUGGAGUAUCCCUCAGAAUGAUUCCAGGACGCUUCUCCUAUGUAGAAAAGCGUUCCGAACAAGAAGCCGCCAAUCAAAUUAAGCUGGCAUUCGGAUUCCUGAGAUCAAAAUACAUGAGGAUAGCGGGACGAACCCUUCCACAAAAAAUCUGAAUCUUCAUCUCAGAUUUUGACAAAAUUCCAAGGCUAUAGGCUUACUGUUUUUCCCGGCAAAAAAGUGGAGUAUCCCUCAGAAUGAUUCCAGGACGCUUCUCCUAUGUAGAAAAGCGUUCCGAACAAGAAGCCGCCAAUCAAAUUAAGCUGGCAGAUAUUCUGCUUGCAGAUUCGGAUUCCUGAGAUCAAAAUACAUGAGGAUAGCGGGACGAACCCUUCCACAAAAAAUCUGAAUCUUCAUCUCAGAUUUUGACAAAAUUCCAAGGCUAUAGGCUUACUGUUUUUCCCGGCAAAAAAGUGGAGUAUCCCUCAGAAUGAUUCCAGGACGCUUCUCCUAUGUAGAAAAGCGUUCGGAACAAGAAGCCGCCAAUCAAAUUAAGCUGGCAUUCGGAUUCCUGAGAUCAAAAUACAUCGGAAUAACAUAGAAAUUCU